CACACGACUCUCGGCAACGGAUAUCUCGGCUCUCGCAUCGAUGAAGAACGUAGCGAAAUGCGAUACCUGGUGUGAAUUGCAGAAUCCCGCGAACCAUCGAGUCUUUGAACGCAAGUUGCGCCCGAGGCCUUCUGGCCGAGGGCACGCCUGCCUGGGCGUCACGCCA
rnacentral:rRNA from 1 species